rnacentral:rRNA from 1 species
AACGAACGUUCGCGGCGCGCCUAACACAUGCAAGUCGAGCGAGAAAGGGCUUCGGCCCCGGUACAGCGGCGCCCGGGUGAGUAACACGUAGGCAAUCUGCCCCUGAGUGGGGGAUAACCUUCCGAAAGGAGGGCAAAUACCGCAUGUGACCACGACCCCGCGCGGGGAUGAGGGCAAAGCCGGCCACCUCAUGAAAGAUGGCGCGUGGGGAUGAGACUGCGGCCCAUCAGCUAGUUGGUAGGGUAAGGGCCUACCAAGGCAUAGACGGGUAGCUGGUCUGAGAGGAUGAUCAGCCACACUGGAACUGAGACACGGUCCAGACUCCUACGGGAGGCAGCAGUGGGGAAUCUUGCGCAAUGGGCGAAAGCCUGACGCAGCGACGCCGCGUGAGUGAUGAAGGCCUUCGGGUUGUAAAGCUCUGUGGAGGGAGACGAAUAAGGCAUGGCUAACAUCCAUGUUGAUGACGGUAUCCCUUUAGCAAGCACCGGCUAACUCUGUGCCAGCCGCCGCAGUAAAAC